UACGUAGGUGACCAGCGUUGUCCGGAUUUACUGGGCGUAAAGAGCGCGCAGGCGGUCGUUCAAGUCGAGUGUGAAAGCCCCCGGCUCAACUGGGGAGGGUCACUCGAUACUGAUCGACUUGAAGGCAGGAGAGGGAAGCGGAAUUCCCGGUGUAGUGGUGAAAUGCGUAGAUAUUGGGAGGAACACCAGUGGCGAAGGCGGCUACCUGGACCGGUUCUGACGCUGAGGCGCGAAAGCGUGGGUAGCAAACAGG
rnacentral:rRNA from 1 species